UACGGAGGGUGCGAGCGUUGUCCGGAAUCAUUGGGCGUAAAGGGUGCGUAGGCGGGUUUUUAAGUCAGGGGUGAAAUCCUGGAGCUCAACUCCAGAACUGCCUUUGAUACUGAAGAUCUUGAGUUCGGGAGAGGUGAGUGGAACUGCGAGUGUAGAGGUGAAAUUCGUAGAUAUUCGCAAGAACACCAGUGGCGAAGGCGGCUCACUGGCCCGGUACUGACGCUGAGGUGCGAAAGCGUGGGGAGCAAACAGGAUAGAA
rnacentral:rRNA from 1 species